CAUGGCUCAGAUUGAACGCUGGCGGCAGGCCUAACACAUGCAAGUCGAACGGUAGCACAGAGAGCUUGCUCUCGGGUGACGAGUGGCGGACGGGUGAGUAAUGUCUGGGAAACUGCCUGAUGGAGGGGGAUAACUACUGGAAACGGUAGCUAAUACCGCAUAACGUCGCAAGACCAAAGAGGGGGACCUUCGGGCCUCUUGCCAUCAGAUGUGCCCAGAUGGGAUUAGCUAGUAGGUGGGGUAACGGCUCACCUAGGCGACGAUCCCUAGCUGGUCUGAGAGGAUGACCAGCCACACUGGAACUGAGACACGGUCCAGACUCCUACGGGAGGCAGCAGUGGGGAAUAUUGCACAAUGGGCGCAAGCCUGAUGCAGCCAUGCCGCGUGUAUGAAGAAGGCCUUCGGGUUGUAAAGUACUUUCAGCGGGGAGGAAGGUGUUGUGGUUAAUAACCGCAGCAAUGACG
rnacentral:rRNA from 1 species